rnacentral:lncRNA from 1 species
GUAGAUAGAUAGUCUUCUUCAGGAUUAGAAAUUGCAGAGAAAUCUGCAAGAAAAGAAUAUUGAAUUACAAAAUUUGGUCAGCUUAAACACUUGAGUGAAGCUGACUUACACAAUGAACUAUCUUUCUGGCCGAAGACCAGAUGCAAAUUCUCUGUUCUCCUUGUUAUUUACCAUCUCAAUGCAUGGAAGUACGAGUAAUCAAACUAUGUUUAGAUGAUGGAGUCGUCGACUGCACAGUACAUAGCUAGGGAGGGAAUCACCAAAAACAUGCCAUUUACUUGAGAGCUGGAUGUGAUCAUGCGAGGGACUAACCAACUGAAGAAGAGAACUACAGAAAGCUCUCUCCUCCAAUUUCCGUGUUCUAGAUUUAGGUAACCCUUGCUAUAAUUAUAUUUCAAAGUUCAUUAUUUUUCUCCCAAAACUGUUGCAGAAGUUGGAAUUGAACAUUUAUUCUGUUCAGACUAUUGUCUUACCACCUGCUUUUCAGUUUGCUGCUAAUUGAAUUUAUAAACUGACUUCUUAAUGAGUUUUGAAUGGUUUAAGGAUCUAUGCUCAUACUGUCUAAUAAUUGACACAAGUAAUUGUUUCAAUCAACUACUUUCCGCAUAAUGUUUGUUUAGAAUUUAUCUUGGCACUUGCAUUUGGUCUUUAGGUUGAUGAUGAUCUCAAAACAAAAUUAGAAAGAUGGAUAAAGGAUCUUUAGAUACUAUUGGUUUGCAUUUCCUGAUAGUCCUAGAAAAAGGUAACUAGGAAUAUUGUCCCGACAAUUUUAGGUGAUUACAUCAUGCAAGAAGGAUGAACUGCUUAUAGAAUUGGAAAUUUUCAACUAGACUCAGGAGGGCCGAGUACAUGGAGAUCCUCCUGCAUUCCGGUGUCUCAAUCAUGUUCAAACAUAUCACAGGUUCAUGUUCGUUGGAUCCAUGGGUUCACGGUUGCUACCGUGGCAUUCCUUUGGAGAGAUGAAUAUUAGUUCGUGUGCUCAGGU